rnacentral:misc_RNA from 1 species
AUCUAACUUCAUACAUUGAAGAGUAGCCAAGAAAAUGUCUACUCUUAGUAAAUCAGAAUACUUAAAACGUUAUACUUCUGAUGCAGAUGUACCACAUGUCAAAAGAAAACGAAAAGACAUUCCAGAAAAUUUUCGAAUGAAAAAGUCUAGAAUUUUUGAUGAUGACAUAGAUAUUAAGACACUUCCAAGCAGUUUUGAAGACUCAACGGCAUAUGACAACAUAGAAGAAAAUAUACCAAUAAUAGCAGCUGUUAUAGAUGAACGCCCCAAACACAUUCAAUGUCUGGAGGCCUACAAAACUAAUAAGUGGAAAGGAGUCACACUGCAGAGUGAUAAAUUCUAAACUUCUAGGAGAAAAUGCUGUAACCCAAUAUAGGAAGAGUGGAAGACAGCAAAAAAAAAAGGGUGCUGAACCUACACAGGAGGAAAUUAAACAGACAGAAAAAUUAGAUGCCAGAUAUGAUGAAUGGGGAAAAGGCAUGAAGCAAAAGGAGGAAAAAGCAAUUCGGUUAGAAGAUCAUGUUUAUGAAAUGACCAAACCUUUGGCCCGCUCAAAAGAUGAUCAAGAUUUAGAUACCAUGCUGAAAGAUCAGGAGAGAGCUGAUGAUCCUAUGCUUACCUUUAUAAAAAAGAAAAAGUUAAAGGGUUUAGAAAAGAAAGCUUUACCAAAGUACAAAGGGCCUCCACCACCACCGAACCGAUUUGGAAUUAUGGCUGGAUAUAGAUGGGAUGGUGUGGACAGAUCUAAUGGAUUUGAGCGAUCAAUAUAUGCAAAAACAUCAGACAAAAAAGCUGUAGAAUUAAUGGCAUACAAAUGGAGUGUGGAAGAUAUGUGAACAUUUGUAUAUGUUGUGUUCAGGAAGUGACAUUUAUUAUUGGUAUCACAAUGUGCAAUGACAAUAUGGAAUACAUGUUAAAAAAUAGUAUGAAGACAUUUAUUUGUAUUAGAUAUUUUAUCUCUCAUAAAUCAAAGUGUCAG